UCAUAAGCUGUGAAAAAGUUAAAAGAAGAAAGAGUAAAAGUCCGCUAUUACUUUGUAUGAAUGUGUGAGAGAGCGAUAGCUGGCAUUUAUGGGGUUAACUGCGUCGGACAAAGCAGAGAGACGUGCGUCAUGACGUCACGGUGAAGCGGCGUUGCAGGUGCGCAUAACUGCGUGAUAAUUAGUGGGAGAGGAGAGAACGCACCGUUCGGUUGCACGAUUGAAAAAUAUCUAGAAGUAGUUAAAAGUAUCUAGAAGUAGUUGGAAAACACCGCGAGCUGACUCAACAGUCCACAGUUGAUGUUGCCCGCUCGGCGGUCAGGUUUUUGUGAAGGAUUUGAAUUGGUGACGCUCGAUGUCGAGGGGACAUCAGCGACACCGGUAGUCAACGAUAGAUAGGAGACCAGCACUGGAUAGCCACCAGGCAGCUUCCAGACAUCCGCUGGAGAUAACCAGAUGGCGAGCCGGAACUAAGGAACAGAGUCAACUGAACUACCUCCCAAACCUGCGGAGUGGUAGGAAACACAAAGAUCAAAGGGCCCCAACGAUAUAAACUGAGCUCAUAUCAAGGAAGAGAAGACCAUAAAGACAUUUCUUUAUAUUUCUAUUUUAUUUUGCGCGCAUUUUAUUAUUUUCCAUGUUGAAAAUUGUUGUUAACAAUACAGUUCUGAAACUAUGUUUUGUGUGAGUGUGGUCAGUGUUGAUGUUCCAUCCUGGGCUCCAUGAGCGUUAACCUAGAAUCCUGGUAACUGGUCCAACUUCGAAUUGAAACCCAAACCCAAAAAUACCUGUAACCUCAUAAGGCAAAGAGGGGUUACAGUAAGUGGCGAGCUAGCCAGGAGCCCAGUUAGGUGACAUCAAUAUUGCUUUAUUCAAACAUGGAUUUUAUCCAGAGGUCAAGUGUUAAAAUUCCCAACGCAGUCAUCGUUGAUGGAAUAACUGAGUCAGUUCAGGUUGAAGAAGUGAUUGAUUUCCUUAAGAAGUAUGGUGCCAUUCAGCGCACUCUUUUGGUUGAGGAUGAGUCUUCUGAUUUACACAAAAACCAGAUUGUCGAGUACGCUAGUGGCUCAGCUGUACAAGCUAUGCAGUCACUUUUACCAUACAGACACACACUAAAAAGUGAUUCAAAUGUUGUGUACAAUGUUGAGGCUUUAAGUAGUGUUUACACUUCUAAGCUAGGUAGCAGUGCUACAAAAACUUACCUGACAGAGCUAAAAGAGCUAGCAAAGCUAAGCGGCAAAGACUACGAAGCAGUCUUAAGAGAGAUGAUGAUGCAUAUCGGUAGUGAUGUUGAAAGCAUGCAAUCUGCAAACGAGCCGUCGCCUCUAGUACUCAGUGAGUUUCCUGUAGAGUCCCCACAGCCCACCAGUCCUUUCUCAGGUCCCCCUCAGGAUGACAGUGGUGAAAACAGUGCUAUGUCAGCACCAGUUGUUGAUCAAAGAAGAGUCCUAUCCCUUUCUGCGAGUGACAUCAAUCCACCAGAGGUUCAGAAAGUUGUGGUUGAACACAUUGUGAGGAGGGGGAUGCAGGUUCUUCCUCUUCAUACCCAGUCCGACUUCGCUCAUUUUCAGGGAAAAUUCCCAGACCGAAUAGUGAAGUGGACUAUGAUACUUGGCGUUCGCACAUUGACCUUCUCUUGAAUGAUCCCAGUAUGUCUCCUCUUCAAGUGUCUCGAAGGAUCUUGGAGAGUUUGCUUUCACCUGCAGCAGAUGUGGUAAGAGGCUUGUGCUCCAAUUCAUUGCCUUCAGCCUAUUUGCAACUUCUAGAUUCUGCUUUUGGUGCAGUUGAAGAUGGAGAAGAGCUGUUUGCUCAAUUCAUGAGUACUCUCCAGGAUCCAGGCGAGAAGCCAUCAGCUUACCUACAGCGGUUGCAGCUCACGCUCAACCAGGCUGUUAAGAGAGGGGGGGUCGUACCAGGGGAAGUAGGUAAACACCUCCUCAAACAGUUUUGUAGAGGAUGCUGGGACACUGCUCUGCUCUCUAGUUUACAACUUGAGCAGAAGAAAAAUCUUCCACCUCCGUUCUCAGAGCUUUUGCUAAUGCUACGUACUGAGGAGGACAGACAGGCAGUAAAAGCUAGUCGCAUGAGGAAGCAUGUAGGUUCCACAAGGCAGAGAGUUCAGCUCCAGUCACAAAGUAGCUGUAUUGUUGAGCCAACAGAGAACCCAGAGACCCAGCCCAGUGCUAUUGACGAUCUUAGGAAGCAGGUAGCUAGCCUCCAGAGUCAGCUAACCACCUUAAUGGCUCAGAGGACGCCUGGGGGGUUUAGUGAUAGAGGA